rnacentral:rRNA from 1 species
AUUGAACGCUGGCGACAGGCCUAACACAUGCAAGUCGAACGGUAGCACAGAGGAGCUUGCUCCUUGGGUGACGAGUGGCGGACGGGUGAGUAACGUCUGGGAAACUGCCCGAUGGAGGGGGAUAACUACUGGAAACGGUAGCUAAUACCGCAUAACGUCGCAAGACCAAAGAGGGGGACCUUCGGGCCUCUUGCCAUCGGAUGUGCCCAGAUGGGAUUAGCUAGUAGGUGGGGUAACGGCUCACCUAGGCGACGAUCCCUAGCUGGUCUGAGAGGAUGACCAGCCACACUGGAACUGAGACACGGUCCAGACUCCUACGGGAGGCAGCAGUGGGGAAUAUUGCACAAUGGGCGCAAGCCUGAUGCAGCCAUGCCGCGUGUAUGAAGAAGGCCUUCGGGUUGUAAAGUACUUUCAGCGGGGAGGAAGGGGUUAAGGUUAAUAACCUUAGCCAUUGACGUUACCCGCAGAAGAAGCACCGGCUAACUCCGUGCCAGCAGCCGCAGUAA